rnacentral:lncRNA from 1 species
UCAAUUCCGACAACUUUGAAUUUUUCCGGCAGCUACAGUGCUUUUCCGGCAGCUACAGUGUUGCUGUUUUCCGGUAGCACCAGUUUUCAGUCCUCUAUUCAGUUUCAGCGAGUUUUCAGUUGAUAAUCCAACGAUGUGUUUGGGACUAGAUGCUUUCGGGCCUAAAAAGCAGGGUUCUGGCAGUUCCGGUAUUAUGAUUACCUCAGAACCUUUACUG